GACGAACGCUGGCGGCGUGCUUAACACAUGCGAGUCGAACGGAAAGGCCCUGCUUUUGUGGGGUGCUCGAGUGGCGAACGGGUGAGUAACACGUGAGUAACCUGCCCUUGACUUUGGGAUAACUUCAGGAAACUGGGGCUAAUACCGGAUAGGAGCUCCUGCUGCAUGGUGGGGGUUGGAAAGUUUCGGCGGUUGGGGAUGGACUCGCGGCUUAUCAGCUUGUUGGUGGGGUAGUGGCUUACCAAGGCUUUGACGGGUAGCCGGCCUGAGAGGGUGACCGGCCACAUUGGGACUGAGAUACGGCCCAGACUCCUACGGGAGGCAGCAGUGGGGAAUAUUGCACAAUGGGCGGAAGCCUGAUGCAGCAACGCCGCGUGCGGGAUGACGGCCUUCGGUUUGUAAACCGCUUUCGCCUGUGACGAAGCGUGAGUGACGGUAAUGGGUAAAGAAGCACCGGCUAACUACGUG
rnacentral:rRNA from 1 species